rnacentral:rRNA from 1 species
UGCCAGCCGCCGCGGUAAUACGAAGGGGGCUAGCGUUGUUCGGAAUCACUGGGCGUAAAGCGCACGUAGGCGGACUUUUAAGUCAGGGGUGAAAUCCCGAGGCUCAACCUCGGAACUGCCUUUGAUACUGGAAGUCUUGAGUUCGAGAGAGGUAAGUGGAAUACCGAGUGUAGAGGUGAAAUUCGUAGAUAUUCGGUGGAACACCAGUGGCGAAGGCGGCUUUCUGGACCGAUACUGACGCUGAGACGCGAAAGCGUGGGGAGCAAACAGGAUUAGAUA